rnacentral:tRNA from 1 species
GGCCAGGUAGCUCAGUUGGUAGAGCAGAGGACUGAAAAUCCUCGUGUCGGCAGUUCGAUUCUGUCCCUGGCCA